CGUGCAGGCGGUUCGGUAAGUUGGACGUGAAAGCUCCCGGCUCAACUGGGAGAGGUCGUUCAAUACUGUCGGACUUGAGGAUGGUAGAGGGAGGUGGAAUUCCGGGUGUAGUGGUGAAAUGCGCAGAUAUCCGGAGGAACACCAGUGGCGAAAGCGGCCUCCUGGACCAUUCCUGACGCUCAGACGCGAAAGCUAGGGUAGCAAACG
rnacentral:rRNA from 1 species